GUAAGACCGCAUCAUGAAUAUGCUGUGCAAUUUUUGGCACCUGUUCUAAAGAAGGAUAUUAUGGCACUGGACAAAGUGCAGAGGGGGGGAUACAAAAUAAAAAAAAAAGGAAUGGAGCAUAUCAGCUAUGAAGAAAGGUUAACAAAUUUAAACCUCUUUAGUUUAGGAAAAUGGCACCUCAGAGGGGAUAUGAUAACAUUAUACAAAUAUAUCCGUGACAAAUAUAAACCAUUGUGUGGAAAUCUAUUCACAAACAGGAAUAUACAUAGGACAUGAGGUCAUGCGUUUGGACUGGAAGAAAGAAGAUUUAGUCUAAGGCAAAGGAAAGAUAUUUUGUUUUUGUUUUGUUUUUUAACCAUAGGAACAAUAAGGAUGUGGAAUUCUCUGCCUGAAGAACUAUUUUUAUCAAAAUCUGUACAGUAUGUUUAAACAGCAACUAGAUGCAUACUUGCAAAAACAAUAUUCCAUUAUAAUGAAC